UGGGAUGUAGCUCAGUGGUAAAGCACUCGCCUCACAUGCAGGAAACCCUGGGUUCUACCCCCAGCACCAA
rnacentral:tRNA from 1 species